rnacentral:rRNA from 1 species
CCUACGGUAGGCAGCAGUAGGGAAUCUUCCACAAUGGGCGAAAGCCUGAUGGAGCAACGCCGCGUGGGUGAAGAAGGUCUUCGGAUCGUAAAACCCUGUUGUUAGAGAAGAAAGUGCGUGAGAGUAACUGUUCACGUUUCGACGGUAUCUAACCAGAAAGCCACGGCUAACUACGUGCCAGCAGCCGCGGUCAUACGUAGGUGGCAAGAUUUAUCCGGAUUUAUUGGGCGUAAAGGGAACGCAGGCGGUCUUUUAAGUCUGAUGUGAAUGCCUUCGGCUUAACCGGAGUAGUGCAUUGGAAACUGGGAGACGUGAGUGCAGAAGAGGAGAGUGGAACUCCAUGUGUAGCGGUGAAAUGCGUAGAUAUAUGGAAGGACACCAGUGGCGAAAGCGGCUCUCUGGUCUGUAACUGACGCUGAGGUUCGAAAGCGUGGGUAGCAAACAGGAUUAGAUACCCCGGUAGUC